rnacentral:rRNA from 1 species
GACGAACGCUGGCGGCGUGCUUAACACAUGCAAGUCGAACGGAAAGGCCCUGCUUUUGUUGGGUGCUCGAGUGGCGAACGGGUGAGUAACACGUGAGUAACCUGCCCUUGACUUUGUGAUAACUUUAGGGAACUGGGGCUAAUACCGGAUAUGAGCUCCUGCUGCAUGGUGGUGGUUGGAAAGUUUCGGCGGUUGGGGAUGGACUCGCGGCUUAUCAGCUUGUUGGUGGGGUAGUGGCUUACCAAGGCUUCGACGGGUAGCCGGCCUGAGAGGGUGACCGGCCACAUUGGGACUGCGAGACGGCCCAGACUCGUACGGGAGGCAGCAGUGGGGAAUAUUGCAGAAUGGGCGGAAGCCUGAUGCAGCAACGCCGCGUGCGGGAUGACGGCCUUCGGGUUGUAAACCGCUUUCGCCUGUGACGAAGCGGGAGUGACGGUAAUGGGUAAAGAAGCACCGGCUAACUACGUG